rnacentral:rRNA from 1 species
GACCUUACCUGGUCUUGACAUCCACAGAACUUGGCAGAGAUGCCUUGGUGCCUUCGGGAACUGUGAGACAGGUGCUGCAUGGCUGUCGUCAGCUCGUGUUGUGAAAUGUUGGGUUAAGUCCCGCAACGAGCGCAACCCUUAUCCUUUGUUGCCAGCGGUCCGGCCGGGAACUCAAAGGAGACUGCCAGUGAUAAACUGGAGGAAGGUGGGGAUGACGUCAAGUCAUCAUGGCCCUUACGACCAGGGCUACACACGUGCUACAAUGGCGCAUACAAAGAGAAGCGACCUCGCGAGAGCAAGCGGACCUCAUAAAGUGCGUCGUAGUCCGGAUUGGAGUCUGCAACUCGACUCCAUGAAGUCGGAAUCGCUAGUAAUCGUGGAUCAGAAUUCC